AGGCCAUGAAAUAUAUAUUUUCUUGUUUGUUUAAUUAAGACACAUUGAUUUGAACAAAUCUUUUGACAUUUUCAGAUCCUAAAUUUGUGCGCCCAAAAUAAAGAAACAGCCAACAUGCAUGUUUUUGUUAUUUAUGUAAACAAGUAGUUGGGAGUGCCCGAAUAGAAGAUAGCCUAGACACAAUGCUGAGUUGACGAUACAAACAUUCCCGCAGAGGCUAGCCCCACACUGUAUGGGAGUUGCACUCUUCACUAACUUCGGAGCUUAUAGUCCGAUUUUUAAAAAAGAAUGUAUCAGCAUGGCAUACAGAACUGUGUAUAUACCAACCCCCAAGUCUAUACCUUCAAAAAUGUGUAGUUUCUGUUUCCAAUAUCAGAUCUAUGAUCCUGGAGUAUAUAAUCUAUAAAUGUGGUCAAAAGAAAUUUAAUAACUAUUGAUAUUUGAAGUCUCGAGCUGUGUAGAUCCCUAGGAUGUGGCUAGAUCAACUAAGUUCUUGAAGCAUAUAUAAGAAGGUUCUGGCUGUUUAAAACAAUGUUUAAAUGGAAAACUGAUCUGUUUGGCGAAGUUUUGCACUGUUAGUUGGAAGAAAUCUGAACCGGUGGAAGCGCUGGUCAAGAGAAACUGGUUUGCCGGCCAUGUGACUCAGCAGCUGAGACCAGAGUAACCGCAAUUUUCGGUGGCUAAUCAAAAGCUGACACAAAGAAAUAAUUUCAAUUGAAAUUGAGCACGCGUGCGAGCGAGACAGAUGGCAAACAAUGAGCGUAGACAAGUAUAUAGACCUCGAAAGACAAGCAACAAAGAGCGAGGAAGAUGGAGAGAGAGAGAGGGGCAAGAGACAGGCAGGAAAUAUCAGUUACACUUGCAUCAAGAGAACCUCAGCAAAAGUGCAUGAUUUGUGAGGUUAUGUUUGGUAUUACAUGCAUAUUUGCAUUGUUAUACCCCGACAGGGCUAUAGUAGUUUUCACACGAAGUAUGAAUAUUUAUUGGGAAUAAGAAAUUACUUUCCCAAUAGGUAUAUAUACAUACAUAUUUAUCAGUCGACCUAGAUUGGCUCAGAUUGGACAACAGCAUGAGCAGGGUGAAAAGGAAUACAUAUGAAGCAGCAAACGCCAGCUCCAGGCACGGAUGAAGCAUAAGCUUUCAAGAUAACCCAAUAUUAAUAUUUACGGGUUCCAACAUGGCUCCGUUAUAUGAGCCCUAUCCUAUUAACAUCGCACUAUUACAACGACAAUGUAUUCAUUCUUUCAAAAUCCAAAAGAUAA